GACAGAGGUCUCAAGCGUUAGGCGGAAUCACUGGGCUUAAAGCGUGUGUAGGCGGAUCGUUAAGUGCCUUGUGAAAUCCCACGGCUCAACCGUGGAACUGCUUGGCAUACUGGCGGUCUUGAGCCAUCUAGGGGUCGCUGGAACAAACGGUGGAGCGGUGAAAUGCGUAGAUAUCGUUUGGAACGCCAAUGGUGAAAACAGGCGACUGGGGAUGUGCUGACGCUGAGACACGAAAGCCAGGGGAGCAAACGGGAUUAGAAACCCCCGUAGUCC
rnacentral:rRNA from 1 species